AGCUCCAAUAGCGUAUAUUAAAGUUGUUGCGGUUAAAAAGCUCGUAGUUGGAUCUCGGUGGGCAAGGGGCGGUCCAUUUUUCGAUGGUCACUGCCUCAUUUGUCUGCGUUUUUGACAGAUGUUUGAGGGUCCUCUUGACUGAGUGUCCUCUGGCGCUGUCAGGUUUACUUUGAAAAAAUUAGAGUGCUCAAAGCAGGCUUUUAUGCUUGAAUAUUCGUGCAUGGAAUAAUGGAAUAGGAAAUUGGUCUUAUUUUGUUGGUUUUCGAGGCUGGUUUAAUGAUUAAUAGGGACAAUUGGGGGCAUUAGUAUUCAGGCGACAGAGGUGAAAUUCUUGGACCGUCUGAAGACUAACUACUGCGAAAGCAUUUGCCAAGAGUGUUU
rnacentral:rRNA from 1 species